CGCGCGUGAAACCUAGCCAAUCCAGAUCUCUCACACGCACAGCAAACCCUAGCUCCUCUCUCCCCCGCACACUGCUCCUCCCUCCAGCGGAGCUCCCUGCCGUCCAUGGCCUCCCCCACACCCUCCUCCCCUCUCCCCUCCCCGCCAUCCACGGCUUCCCCCAUGCCCUCCACCUCUCUCCGCCUCGACACCUCCCGAUUUGAAUCCGCAGCCCCACAGAAAUACAGAGAUAGAGGGGAACCAAAUCCUGGAGGCGGGCGGAGCUCUUCUGCUUCCAUGGCCAACGACCACUACAACUCUUCCUCCGCCUCCGCGCCGUCGCCGGCGGCGGCGGCGACCGAGGCCGCGGCAGUGGUGGGCUCCUCGGUGAUCCCUAUCAUCAACAAGCUGCAGGACAUCUUCGCGCAGCUGGGGAGCAGCUCCACCAUCGACCUAUCGUAGGUGGCCGUCGCCGGCAGCCAGAGCAGCGGCAAGUCGAGCGUCCUCGAGGCGCUCGUUGGCCGCGACUUCCUCCCACGCGGCUCCGACAUCUGCACGCGCCGCCCGCUCAUGCUCCAGCUCGUGCACCAGCUGCGCCGCCCCGCCGACGCCAAGAGGGAUGAGUGGGCCGAGUUCCUGCACCACCCCGGCUGCCGCUUCUAUGAGUUCCCCGACAUCCGACGCGAGAUCCAGGUGCUGGAGCAGUUGAGAGGACAGUGACCGGUGUUCUCCAAGGCGAGGUACACUGUCAGGUCGUUCGGUAUCAGGCAUAAUGAGAAGAUUGUGUGCUACAUGACUAUAAGGGUUGAGAAGGCGAUGCAGCUGCUGGAGAGUGGCCUGAAGGUGAAGGAGUACGAGCUGCUCAGGAGGAACUUCAGCGACACCGGAUGCUUUGGCUUCAGUAUCCAGAGCACAUCGAUCUCGGUGUGAACUACCAAGACUCUUGAGUUUGUGGUGAUGGCAGCUAACACGGAGCCGAUCGGAAUCUCCCCCACCCCCUGUUGCUCCCUGAUAAUAACAAGUGAAAACUUGACCAAUGAGAGGCUGACACGUCAAUUACUGGGGGAAAUUGUGGGGUAAGCCUUGGGUGCACUUAGCGAUCUGUGUCGAUGGCGAUUGCGGAUUGGUUUUCUCUUCUCCUCUCAGUUCCCUCCGCGUGUCGAUGCGUCUCUCGAAGACUCGCGUGGGCUCUCUGCCUCCGCCGCCCACCGCUCAACCGCCGAUGCACCACCGCUCAACCGCUGUAUCUCCUUAUAAAAUGGCUCCCGCCCCUCAAGCUUGCUCCAACGCCCAUGCCCAUCACGCAGCGCCCACACGCUCCAGCAGAUCCAGACGAUGUGAUGCUGGCGGUCGGCGAGGCCUCCUCGGCGCGCGGUUUGGUUCGCAGCGAACAGUGAAGCAGAGCUGCGCGGCGAUGGCGACGACCAGCGCAGGGCACGGGCGACACCGCGACAACAAGCACAAGGCCAUGGAGGGGCUCACGCAGCGCGCGGCGGUGCGCGGCUAGGCGGACCUCACGCUGCGGCGGCGGCAGGUGCGUGCUAGCCGUGGCCAUGAGAGGGGGCUUGCGGCGUGACUGCGGCAUGCGGCAGCGGGGAUCUCCCCAACCUCUCCUACCCCCCUUCUGAUGUGGGGAACCAUGGAUUGCCGAUUUUUUGUUGAAUCUUUAGUCGUGUGGAAAUGGCGUUUUGGCUGGGACGUGACGGUGCGGCCACCGGCGCCCUGCGUCCUCCACCGGUGUCGCAUGCUCAUGCCCCUGCCCCCUUCCUUCGGCCGUCCAGACUGCCUCCGUCUCAGCCGGUGGAUGUCCAUAUGCCGGAUAACGAGUGUAGCGGCGAUCACGGUCUGUCCUGCUCCGACAGUCCUCUGUCACUUCUUCCGUUGGCUUACUACUAAUGCAGGUGGAGUUCAACAUGGAAGAGCAUGGCCCAAGCAUCAUUCUGGGCGUAGCUGCCCACCUCUAUGUGACGACUGCUCCAAGGCAGACCAAGUGUUCGUCGUAAUGUCAGAGCGGCCACAGUGAUGAUCUUCGAGGUCUGUGUAGUGCCGGAAGACAGCGACCAGUAGCGGGCGCUCGCGCACUGCUUCUGGGAUGACACAGUCAGGACUAAUAAGGAUGAGGGUCAUGUUCAUAUUUCCAGUGGGUUCGUUCCAGUGGUAUGGACGCGGCGAGGCAAUUUAUAAAGUUUGCCAGAGCAGCCACUGCGUACUAUCCCACACUCUAUCGACGGACCACCUUCUUCCACGCUGACGCCGGUCGCCGGGGUAUGGUCAUCCAUCGCCAUGCAAGAGCGCUCUAAUCCCCUAGACAGUACUGCUCACAGCAGUUGCAGGCGCGAACGCAUUGCCCUCAGCCGUGGAUGCCACUGUCCCGAACCAAGGAUGUGCAGGCAUGUUUUAGAUUAUGAUUGUGCAAAGGAAUAUGUUAGAAAAUGACGGUCUGCAAUGGUGUACCAAAAUAUUGGACAUCUUCUGAUUUUACUGGAAGAUUGAUGUGGACAUUGAAGUUAUUGCACUGGCAGCUGAUUUUUUUCCCUUCACAUUUUUGAAGACUGAAUUUUCAGCAGCACUGCACCAUUAAUUAGCUUUCUGCAUGUGACUUGUGAUUGCAGCUGAUGAAGCCGUCAACCAUUGGAGGCAUGGAAUUGUCGAGCCCAAGGUUCGUCACCCUUGUUUUCUAAAGGGAAGCUAAAGUUGGGGUUGCCAAUCUCCGAGGAUUUUCUCAAUGGUUGAAAAGUUUGAUCACUGAGGAAUGGGGAUUACAGUCACAGAUUAUUAUUCGGUUAUUCCUCUUGCUGGUGCCUCCGCUGAAAGUUAUGCAUCUAUAUACAACCAUAUAUAUAAGUUUGCCUCUUCAAUCAGAAGAUUGUAUUAGCUAUUCAAUUCAUAGUUCAACCUUUGAAUAUACAGUUUUGGCUGAGUAGUUUGAGCCUCCGUUGUGCAACUGGAUCAUGGUACAAAUCCAGACCUGCAGCUGUGUUUUAUUUUAUUAUCCUUUUUAGAAACUGACACGCUGCCUUCGUUGCCUAAACCCGUGCUUUAAUUAAAUGAUAAAUUUACUAUAAAGAUUUUUUUCUUUGACUCUUAUAUGAAAAAAUUGUACGAACAUGUGAUUGCUAUCCAGAUUAGUCAGGUCAUCCUGCAAAUAACUGUGGGAUACAUUACUGAUACUUACUCAAUCAUUGUAGUGAAAUAAUACAAGAUGGUGAACACCUCGGAUGCAGCUCAAAGGUCAAAUAUCAUGAUAUAGAGUAGGCAUUAAACCUAUCUUAUCUACUUAAUUUUUUGUUGCAGACUAAUCGUCUAUCUUAUCCAUACAUGGCUGAUUAGGAAGUAGUACAGUACCCGCAUGUUUAAUAGUUAUCAGAUUAUUUCUGUACAUAGUUGAUUUGUGUAUUGAGACGGGAGGCCAAGUUGUUCAAUUUGUGGAUUUGAUUUAUUCAGACUGGUGGCAUUCCUUAAUUUCUGAUUCCUGUUUAUGUUUGGUUUUGAGCUGUAAAUUAUUUAUUCUGGCACAUCUAACGGCUGCUUCUUUUGUCUAGCCUUCUUUCAAUGAAAUAUUUCCAGUCAGUAGACUAUACUUGCUAUUCCAAUCACAUACAGGCCUAGGGUUGUCCACUAAGAGAAGGUGCAACAAAUUCACUUGGUUUGUGAAUAUCCUUAAUAUAAGCUAGCAACUUUUCAUAUAUAUGCCAGGUUGUCUUCAAGCCAUAGAAGCACUAUCGAGCCCUGGAGCUGUGGCGACAGUGCCGUCCCAGCCACCGGCGUCCUCUUCCAUGCCAUGGCCAUCCAGGAGGAGUGCCACGGCUAUCGCAGUUCUCCCCAUGCCAUCCUCCUGGAUGUUGAUCGUGUCCUUGCACCGGCGGCAGCUGGAGCCUGGUACGUCCAGAGAGGCAUGGCCUUGGAUUGGAGCAUUGCAGUCAUCGAUCCACUUCGUGGUAGUCAUGGGGUAGGGUGGCGUAGAACUCAGCCCCGUGAGCUGCAGUUCACCAGUUCAUUCCUCAGCUGUAAGCCCAGCAAGAAGGAAAAUGGUUUGUGCUAUAUAUACGACUGAACUGGACAAUCACAUAGAAGGUAGAUAUUUGCACAUCUGAUUUCUUUUGUGUAGUCUGGGUACUCUUUCCCAUGGUGUUAAAAAAUAUAUAUGUUUGUGAAGUUGUAUGACUUACGUGAUUUUGUAGCACACUAAGUUGACCCAAACUGGCUUGAAUUUGUUGGUUAUUUGGCCUUGCCUGAACACGGUUGGUGAAAGCAGCAGUGCUUGCUUUGAUUUUUUUUUGUUCAGUUAAAUCAUUCACAUGAGUAUCUCAAUUUAAUUAACAGUGUAAGUUGAUUGUGAGGCUGUGUAUUUUUUGUUGAAGAAGAAAGUACCACCACAUGUAACUCAUUUGCACUUAGUGAAUUUCAGUUGGCAUCUUAAUAUUGGCCCUACUUUACAAUAUAAAGCAUUGCUCUGUUUGUAGGUUGCAGCAAGAUAUGCAAAAUACCCGUGCUUCUUACUAAUGAUGAUCCUAAUGUUAAUUCAAUGGGGAAAUGAAUAUCGAGUGCGGACAUAGUGUUGUUCUUUUAGGGCAAGAAAGAGAAAAAUGUUAAUUUUGGUUCCUUCCUUUUUAUGUAUAUGGAUGCAAUGUGUGCUUUCUGUCUAUUUGUAAUCUGUCUUAUAGGUAUACUCAUGAAGUAUACCACCAUUACUCCCUACAGUACAUAGUUCGGAUUUCUCAUUUGUAUAGUUCAAUGCUUUCGGUUUGGAUAGUUCACUCUUCCUAUUUGGUACCAAUUUCAAACUGAAGGACCGAUUCUUGAUCUUCUUCUAUAUUGGGUAUUGUUUAGUUUUGUGGGUAAUUUUAGUUCAUUUAUUUUGCAUAUUCCCAAUUUUUGUACAACUUCUCCGUAAGAAAUAGACACACUAGAUUCAUACACCUACCUUUGAAAAAUAUCAAUUUUUUGGCCAUAGGUGCUGAGUCCAAUGCGUAGAAUCUUCUAGAACCAUCUAUGACUUCAGCACCAAGGGAAAGGAGGGGCAGAGGAAGAGGCACAAUAAUGUAAGUUAGGUGGUCAAUUGCAUGGUCCGCUGGGAGAGAUCUGGCUGCCUAUGAACUGAUUUGUGGUGGGUGCGUUGAUAAUGAUCAAUAUUUGUUCAUCACCAUUCUGUGGUGUUGAUCCUCUAUUAUUACUCAUUGUUGGAAUACUAACUGUUAAAGUUUGUAGUUAUAGCGUUGUUGCAUGAACAUCCUUAGGCAUUUGUUUACCAGAGACCAUGCUUUCUGAUUUUCUUGAUGACUUGACAAACAAAUAGAAUUGCAAUAUGCAUGGAUAAACUGGUCAUAAACUCUUGAUUUCCUCUGCUCGGCAUAGUGACUAAUUUAGUGGUGAGCGGGUAGUUACCCAGUGUUUGUCUUAUUGUUUGUAGGUGGUCCUUCCUGUAGGUCUGUUGGGCAGGGCGAUUUGCGUGUCCCCUGUUCCUCCGUUCUGGUUGCGUCUUUUGGCCCAACUAUGGAUGUGGGAGGAGACCUUUAUGAACUCUAGGUCUGAUGUGUAGUCUUGGCAGAAAGAAACCACAAUGCAUAUACUUUUCAUCUUGCAAGAUGUAGCACUCAUGAUCAUAAUAAUGUAUCCUUUUGAAAUUA